GAUGAACGCUGGCGGCGUGCCUAAUACAUGCAAGUCGAGCGAACAGACGAGGAGCUUGCUCCUCUGACGUUAGCGGCGGACGGGUGAGUAACACGUGGAUAACCUACCUAUAAGACUGGGAUAACUUCGGGAAACCGGAGCUAAUACCGGAUAAUAUAUUGAACCGCAUGGUUCAAUAGUGAAAGCCGGUUUUGCUGUCACUUAUAGAUGGAUCCGCGCCGCAUUAGCUAGUUGGUAAGGUAACGGCUUACCAAGGCAACGAUGCGUAGCCGACCUGAGAGGGUGAUCGGCCACACUGGAACUGAGACACGGUCCAGACUCCUACGGGAGGCAGCAGUAGGGAAUCUUCCGCAAUGGGCGAAAGCCUGACGCAGCAACGCCGCGUGAGUGAUGAAGGUCUUCGGAUCGUAAAACUCUGUUAUUAGGGAAGAACAAAUGUGUAAGUAACUAUGCACGUCUUGACGGUACCUAAUCAGAAAGCCACGGCUAACUACGUG
rnacentral:rRNA from 1 species